AUUACCUGUAUUUCGGAUGUUACACUCGCGACACGUGAUAUUUGUGUACACUUUGUGACACAGUGACGAUCCCAAUUGUAGAUCGACACCUUAUACCUCUCUAACUAGGUUAAUUCACUUUAACGACCUGUACACGAACAUUACGCAGUCUACAUUUAUAAAAUGACUAAUUAAGUGACGAUCAAAUUUGCCUAGCAAUUACGUCGCCAUUAUUGUUCGUAAAAAAUUUACAUAACCUGUAUCUUCUUGACAACCAUAUACUAAAUUCAAUUUGUCAAACUCUUGAAAAAUAAAAGCGAGAGCCGGCGACAACGAUGUGGCAUUACUGGCGGGUACACAUGGAACGCGACCCUCGGCGGUCGAGCAAACAGCUGCCGUCUAGCCCCCACCAUACCGGACGCCCCCAUCGUUCCAGCACUUCGUUUUGACCGUACCCUUCUACAGUCUGCCUUUUUAUCAAUGAAGCUUGGACAUCCAAGCGAUUUCCUUCGUUAUGAAAAUUUAAUUAUUGCGAUCAAUUUUGGGAGAAAUAAAAUCGUUUGUUGUACGUGGUUAUACGCAUAUGGCUGCGUUUCAAAAUGGAUGUAUUUAUUAUAAA
rnacentral:misc_RNA from 1 species